CAAAUUCAUUUGAGCACCACUUCUGCCUGCUGUAGGUCCUCCACAAGCCAGAUUUAGCUCCAAACAGUAUUUUGUGUGAUAUUGUGGCCAAUAGAAAUACACACAAAUAUUUUAAAGUAUACUUUAUCUUGAACAAGAAGAAUAACUCAGUGUAAAGUUAGGAGUCUAUUAAGACUAAAAAGAAAAGAAAACUUUAGAUUGAGUAACAAGAAAAAAAUAUCUAGAUUUUAUUAAUUUUUGAAAAAGAAUACUGCUUUCUGGCCAAAGGUCCCAGGAUCCACCCCUUCCCACACCCCAUUUAAGCACUGGGAGUGGAGGCAAAGAUAUCUCACUGGUGGUCCCUGCAUACUUGAGGCCUUCUGAAGGUGGUAUUUGAAACUCUUUUGUACUACAGCUCAGAUAAAUACUUGAACAGAUUCACAGAAUGAUAUGGUGUUAUAAGAGAGCCAAGGGAUCCAUUUUCUGAAGGCUGUCUCACUUUAAAUUGCUUGCUACUCUUCAGUGGAGUUUUAAAAAAUGUGAGAAAUAACAUUUUCUCAGAAGAAAAUGGCAUGAGGGAAUAAUCAGAGGUCAGCUGAAUGUAAACCACUGGGUAAUUAGGUUGCAGGAACUUUAUUAAUGUCAACAGCAAGUUAGUUCUGCUGCAUUCUUAUUCCUAGCAAGUUCUUAAGAUUAAGGUAACUUUAUUUUCUUUGUUUAAAUUCAGCAUUUAAAAUAUUAGCUAUCUUUCCCACUUUCUUUUCAUUGGCUUUAGGUUAUUGACUAUUUGAGUUACUGUUUUAAUACAUUUUUUUCUUUCAUUGAGAGUAAAUUUUAGAGUCCUGACAAUGUACUUAUUUUUUCAUGGGAAUGCAGUUGUCACUCACAAGCAGAACAAAGACAUACAUACUGCCAAAGGAUCAAAUGAGGAAACCUUUCCCCUUAAGAGAAAAAAUAAUUGACUGGUUUUUUUUUGUUGUUUUUUUUUUUUUCCAUCAAAUAUUAUUUCACAAAAAUGUUCUUUAUUUUAGCUCGAGACUGACUUUUUCUGCUUUUCUGAGGAUUUGUGUUAGGCAAUUUAUUCUGUAUCACUACAGUUUGUGUAUACAAAAUAUGUGACUCCUUGCAUCAGACCUUGUAUUAACUAUGUUGUUUAAAUAGAUUCUUUAACUUUAAUUGAUUUGGAAGCAGCUUGUGCUCUGAUGUAUGUGAGAGCAGAAUCAAGAUCAUACUUUGCCUUAAAAGCUGCAAGAAGAGAUGUAUAAAUUUGUAGCAUCAUUAAUAUGUAUUAAAAGCUUCAGCAGUUGAACUGAAUUAUAUCAUGUUCUCAAAUAACAGAAAGGGAAUAGUGCUUUGUUAUGC